AACGAACGCUGGCGGCAGGCCUAACACAUGCAAGUCGAGCGCGCCCUUCGGGGUGAGCGGCGGACGGGUGAGUAACGCGUGGGAACGUGCCCUUUUCUACGGAAUAGCCUCGGGAAACUGAGAGUAAUACCGUAUACGCCCUUUGGGGGAAAGAUUUAUCGGAAAAGGAUCGGCCCGCGUUGGAUUAGGUAGUUGGUGGGGUAAUGGCCUACCAAGCCGACGAUCCAUAGCUGGUUUGAGAGGAUAAUCAGCCACACUGGGACUGAGACACGGCCCAGACUCCUACGGGAGGCAGCAGUGGGGAAUCUUAGACAAUGGGGGCAACCCUGAUCUAGCCAUGCCGCGUGAGUGAUGAAGGCCUUAGGGUUGUAAAGCUCUUUCAGCUGGGAAGAUAAUGACGGUACCAGCAGAAGAAGCCCCGGCUAACUCCGUG
rnacentral:rRNA from 1 species